UACGUAGGGGGCAAGCGUUAUCCGGAUUUACUGGGUGUAAAGGGAGCGUAGACGGCAAGGCAAGUCCGAUGUGAAAACCCGCGGCUCAACUGCGGGAUUGCAUUGGAAACUGUUUAGCUCGAGUACUGGAGGGGUAAGCGGAAUUCCUAGUGUAGCGGUGAAAUGCGUAGAUAUUAGGAGGAACACCGGCGGCGAAGGCGGCUUACUGGACAGUAACUGACGUUGAGGCUCGAAAGCGUGGGGAGCAAAC
rnacentral:rRNA from 1 species